GAUGAACGCUAGCGGCAGGCCUAAUACAUGCAAGUCGGACGGGAUUUGGGAGCUUGCUCCUAAUGAGAGUGGCGCACGGGUGCGUAACACGUAUGUAACCUACCUUAAUCAGGGGGAUAGCCUCUCGAAAGAGAGAUUAACACCGCAUAAUAUAUUUUUAUGGCAUCGUAGAAAUAUCAAAUAUUUAUAGGAUUAAGAUGGGCAUGCGGAACAUUAGCUAGUUGGUAAGGUAACGGCUUACCAAGGCUAGGAUGUUUAGGGGAUCUGAGAGGAUGACCCCCCACACUGGUACUGAGACACGGACCAGACUCCUACGGGAGGCAGCAGUAAGGAAUAUUGGUCAAUGGGCGCAAGCCUGAACCAGCCAUGCCGCGUGCAGGAAGACGGCCCUAUGGGUUGUAAACUGCUUUUGUACCGGAAUAAACCCUUUUACGUGUAAGAGGCUGAAUGUACGGUAAGAAUAAGGAUCGGCUAACUCCGUGCCAGCCGCCGCCGCAG
rnacentral:rRNA from 1 species